UAAAUUGUGCAAUUCUGAUAGAACAUUGGGGAAUAUACACCCUUUUUAAGGUUAUAAAUAUCCAAGAAUAUGGGCAGAAAAGUUGUGAUUUUAAAGAAUAUGUUGAAAGACAAAUGAAAAGGGGAAAGAGAAAGUCAAUAUCCAGACUUAUGAACAUACAAACAAUUCUACUUUAAGAUUUUAAGUUCCCAGAAGAGAGACAACUAUAAAAUCUCUUUUGAAUAUAUUCAUCAUCUGACAGCUCUAUCAAUUUAAUAGAAAGUAUAUUUUGAUGAAUUAAUGGCUCCUUAAUUGCCAUCUAACACUGGCAGACAGAGAUGCUAAGAUUUCAUUUUUCAAUGAUUGUGCCAUACAGAAUGCACACUAGUGCUACUUGACAUCGAAAAAUGUGGAAUGAAAAGAUUUUUGUCUGUUUCAAGAAAUGAAGAUAUAAAAGGUGCUGCCAUUUUUCCUGAUUCAUCAUGUAGUUGCUUAUACAGAGAGUAAUGUAUUCACCGUCAAACGUCUGUACUUCCAUGUCAA